GUACUUACUUUGGUAGCACAUAUACUAAAAUUGGAACAAUACAGAGAUUAGCAUGGCCUCUAUGCAAAGAAUGACAGGCAAAUUCAUGAAAUGUUCCAUAAUUUU
rnacentral:snRNA from 1 species